UAACAGUUUUAUAAACUAUAUGACCCCAUAGAAAGAAUGUUUUUCAUUAAUCAAGAACUGCAGUAAAUCAGAGGAACGAAAAUGAUGGUGGGAUAUAUAGUUGAAGACAGAUUCCUCAAAGUAGCCCCCUUUUGCUUUGAUGACAGCUUUGCACACUCUUGGCAUUCUCUCAAUCAUCUUCAUGAGGUUGUCUCCUGGAAUGCUUUUCCAACAGUCUUGAAGGAGUUCCCAGAGGUGCUGAGCACUUGUUGGCUGCUUUUCCUUCACUCUGCGGUCCAACUCAUCCCAAACCAUCUCAAUUGGAUUUAGACGGGUGAUUGUGGAGGCCAGGUCAUCUGAUGCAACACUCCAUCACUUUCCUUCUUGGUCAACUGAGAGACCCAAGGGAAUUACAGGGAAAUGGAGGUGGAGUAUAUAGUAGAAGGCAGGUAAAAGAAUGAUCGAUUAUUAAGAAGAAGAAAAAUGAAGACGAGGACUAUAUCGAUCUUCUGUUUUCAUCAAUUCAGGAGAGAAAAA